rnacentral:rRNA from 1 species
UCGAGAAUCUUCGGCAAUGGGCGCAAGCCUGACCGAGCGACGCCGCGUGGAGGACGAAGGCCUUCGGGUUGUAAACUCCUGUCGAGGGGGAGGAAGGCGGCGCGCAGAGCGUCGCUUGACCGAUCCCUGGAGGAAGCACGGGCUAAGUUCGUGCCAGCAGCCGCGGUAAGACGAACCGUGCGAACGUUAUUCGGAAUCACUGGGCUUAAAGCGCGUGUAGGCGGACGGGCACGUCGGUCGCUGAAAGCCCCCGGCUCAACCGGGGAAGGGGCGCCGAUACGACUCGUCUGGAGGGGCGUAGGGGGGACUGGAACUUCCGGUGGAGCGGUGAAAUGCGUUGAGAUCGGAAGGAACGCCCGUGGCGAAAGCGAGUCCCUGGACGCCAUCUGACGCUGAGACGCGAAAGCCAGGGGAGCGAACGGGAUUAGAUACCCCCGUAGUCC